rnacentral:tRNA from 1 species
AGAGGGUAUAGCUCAGUGGUAGAGUGCGUGCUUAGCAUGCAUGAGGUCCUGGGUUCAAUCCCCAGUACCUCUA